rnacentral:lncRNA from 1 species
CUACAUGUAAAAUUUGGCAUCCAAUUUCAGAGCAUCCAUGAUUCCUCAAAGACAAUCUUGACCAACAACCUUACUUAGAUCACUAAAGUACCUCAGAUCAGAUUUCAAAUCAGCCUACUCAUCAGGUCCACUCUACCAUGCCAGACCAGGCAUCCAAGUUAUAAAGAUGAGAUUCCAAAUUACCCAGCUGCCAUAAAGCUCGCGUUCCCGUGUGAAUCCUGAACUCUGGCUGACGACAUCUGGAGUCCACUGCAAUCAUGUGUUCCCUCAAUGACUGAAAAACCUGAGCAUAAUGACUACCUAAGAUUCAUAUCUGUACAUACCCAAAAUGUUUAUUAAAUAGAAAUAAAGAUAAAAUAAUGUGUA